GCCCAGACUCCUACGGGAGGCAGCAGUGGGGAAUAUUGCACAAUGGGGGAAACCCUGAUGCAGCGACGCCGCGUGAGUGAAGAAGUAUUUCGGUAUGUAAGGCUCUAUCAGCAGGGAAGAUAAUGACGGUACCUGACUAAGAAGCCCCGGCUAACUACGUGCCAGCAGCCGCGGUAAUACGUAGGGGGCAAGCGUUAUCCGGAUUUACUGGGUGUAAAGGGUGCGUAGGUGGCAUGGCAAGUCAGAAGUGAAAGCCCGGGGCUCAACCCCGCGGACUGCUUUUGAAACUGUCAGGCUGGAGUACAGGAGAGGUAAGCGGAAUUCCUAGUGUAGCGGUGAAAUGCGUAGAUAUUAGGAGGAACACCAGUGGCGAAGGCGGCCUACUGGACUGUAACUGACACUGAGGCACGAAAGCGUGGGGAGCAAACAGGAUUAGAUACCCUCGUA
rnacentral:rRNA from 1 species